CGGCCGCAGCAGCUUCCGCGUCUCCGACUCCGGAGAGCGCGGUUCCUAGACGGUUCCGCUGGGCGAGUUCUGGGAGCCCGGCAGGAGCCGUUCUCAUCGCUCGAGCGAGCGCAGCAGACGCACGACUUGGCACCGGGACACGAGCCUCUGCCGAGAGCCUCCGCCGCGAGCCUUUGCCGCCUCAGAGAGAAUAUGGAUUUUGCGACAAGAAGGUGGUUCUACCUGCUACUGGGCUGCAUGAUGCUGAUUAAUCUGAUUAAUGCUGAUUUUGAAUUUCAAAAGGGGGUGCUUGCUAGGAGCAGCCCCGGGAUCAUGGAGGACAUUGAUCUCCAGUGCUGGAACGCUUGCUCUUUGACAUUGAUAGAUCUCAAGGAACUCAAGAUAGAGCACAAUGUAAAUGCUUUCUGGAAUUUCAUGUUAUUCCUGCAAAAAUCCCAGCGGUCUAGACAUUAUAAUGUCUUUUUAAGCAUAGCUCAGGAUUUCUGGGACAUGUAUGUAGACUGCUUGCUUUCAAGAUCUCAUGGAAUGGGCAGAAGACAGGUGAUGCCUCCUGAUUAUCCACAGAAGAUAACAGGAGGACUGGAUUUUAUAAGACCUGAGUUUUACAUUUAAGAACACAGAAAAUACCUCAAGCAAGAUGACACCAACCUGAAAAUUUAACUCUGAUCUCAUUCAGGACACCACUUACAUUGAGUUGUCAUGUCUCCUUCGGCUCUGAGAAGAUGUUUUUGAUGACCUUGACAGUUUGGGAUAGUGAUGAGGUGUAUUGUGGAAUUCCCUCAGUUUGGGUUUGCCUGGUGUGUUUCUCAUUGUUAGACCGUGGUUAUAGGAUUUUUGGGAUGAACACCACAGAAGUAAAGCACUGUUCUCAAUACUUCAUAUCAAGGGUACAUGCUGUCAACAUGACGUACCUCAUGGAUGGUGUUUAACCUUGGCUAAGGUAGUGUUUGUCACAUUUCUUGGCUGUAAAAUUAUUUUCCCAUCUCUUUUGUUCAUUCGUUCAUUUGUUCAUUCUUUCUAUGACAAGUCUUUUUUAUUCAACUAGCCCUUCUCUUUCCAUGUUGUAUUCUUUGGAAGUGAGGCAUCUUUUAGGAAAUGGGGAGUUAUAUUCCAUCUCCUUGGGAAUGGAAUAUCCACAUAAAGUAAACUAAAUCCAAGCAAUUAUGAAGCAUGGUUGCCAAUGAAACUAAUGUAAGCUUAGGCUGUGUUGGCAGACGUUGUGUAAAAAUGAGAAGGACUAGUUUCAUUCUACCCUCUAUGUUUCCUGAUACAUCUGGGAAUUUUAGUUUGGUUCUCUUGGUCUCAGUAUAGCACUUUUAGAAGGGGCUGGCCAGAUUCAUCAUCUGGAAUGAUUAAAGAAACUGGAUAUUUGCCCCAAAAGACUUAGAGUGAACAUCAUGGUUUUUCCCUGUGAUAUGAAAUGUACCCUGUGUUCCAGAAGGCACAUUGAGGACCAGAUGAACAGAAGUUGUUCACCUAAUUAUUCACUGGUUUUCAUUCGUUAUGAGCAAGCACUGGGAUGGAUUUACUGGCUCACUGCUGGUGGCUGGAAUUAUAAUAUGUGAACUUGGAUGUUGUCUAUCAAGUCCAAGUGUCUGGGUGAAGCACCCUCCAUCCACAUUCAUUUCUUCCUCUGUUAAAUGGCUGUUAGGUAAUAACCUCCUCUCUUUUACUAUUCCUCUUCCUGAUGGGUAAGAUCAACAAUGGCAGGGAAGAGUUCUACAGAAAUCACAGGUUGUUUUGAUUGCAGUCAGUCCUCAUCAAUCUGGAGAUACCAAGUUUUACCACAGGAUACUCAGCCAAAUAAUAUCAAUUUUAUU